rnacentral:rRNA from 1 species
UACGUAGGGGGCAAGCGUUGUCCGGAUUUCCUGGGCGUAAAGAGCGUGUAGGCGGCCAAGCAGGUCCGUUGUGAAAACUGGAGGCUUAACCUCCAGACGUCGACGGAAACCGCGUGGCUAGAGUCCGGAAGAGGAGAGUGGAAUUCCUGGUGUAGCGGUGAAAUGCGCAGAUAUCAGGAAGAACACCAAUGGCGAAGGCAGCUCUCUGGGACGGUACUGACGCUGAGACGCGAAAGCGUGGGGAGCGAACAGG